UGUAUAAGAGACAGCAGCAGCCGCGGGAAUACGUAGGUGGCAAGCGUUGCCCGGAAUUAUUGGGCGUAAAGCGCGCGCAGGCGGAUCAGUCAGUCUGUCUUAAAAGUUCGGGGCUUAACCCCGUGAUGGGAUGGAAACUGCUGAUCUAGAGUAUCGGAGAGGAAAGUGGAAUUCCUAGUGUAGCGGUGAAAUGCGUAGAUAUUAGGAAGAACACCAGUGGCGAAGGCGACUUUCUGGACGAAAACUGACGCUGAGGCGCGAAAGCCAGGGGAGCGAACGGGAUUAGAUACCCCUGUAGUCCCUGUCUCUUAUACA
rnacentral:rRNA from 1 species